rnacentral:rRNA from 1 species
AUUGAACGCUGGCGGCAUGCCUAACACAUGCAAGUCGAACGGAGUAGCGGACGGGUGAGUAAUGCCGAGGAAUCUGCGUGGUACUGGGGGAUAACGUGCGGAAACGGGCGCUAAUCCCGUAUACUAUCAGCUGUGCCUAGUUCGGAUUUGCUUGUUGGUGGGGUCAUGGCCUACCAAGGCGACGAUCCGUAACUGGUCUGAGAGGAUGAUCAGCCACACUGGAACUGAGACACGGUCCAGACUCCUACGGGAGGCAGCAGUGGGGAAUAUUGGGCAAUGGGCGAAAGCCUGACCCAGCCAGGCCGCGUGUGUGAAGAAGGUCUUCGGAUUGUAAAGCUCUUUAAGUUGGGAGGCGUUACCAACAGAAUAAGCACCGGCUAACUUCGUGCCAGCAGCCGCGGUAAUAC